rnacentral:sRNA from 1 species
AAAUAAACCUGAUAGCAGUGGAUCCCGAAUGAAAUCGGGAGCAACGAAUAGCAUGACUUCAA